CUAACUCAGUCCUGCUCACUCUCACUCUAUUCCCUUCCCUUUAAUUCAUCCCCAACAAGUGACUAAGGAAAAUCCUUAUGCCCUAGCUACUGCUCCGAUCGUCGUUCACUCCAAAGUGAUACAGGAGGAUUUCAAGGCCACUGAGAUUGAGGUUUCAGAUGCUUCUUGUGCUCAUGGGAAUACACAAUGGAUUCAUGGACAAUGCAACACUACUCUUUUUCCUUUCAUAUCUUAACCUCCAAGUCAAGGUAAUGCAUUGUAUUUUAUAAAUAAUACUAUAAAAUGCUUUAUGGUGGCUGGUUUAAGAAUUUGCUUUGUGAUGACUAUAUUAGUUUGGCAACUUGCUAUGAGAUAGUUGAUUUUAGAGUUUGCUUUAUUAUGGCUGCCUUGAGAACUUAGUUUAUGUUGACUGGUUUAAGAACUUGGGAUAUGAUGGCUAGUUUGGUUUGGAUUAUGAUGGCUAGUUUGGUUUGAUAAUGUCUUUUACGAUGGUUGAUUUUAAAACUUAGAUUAUGGUUAGUUUGACAAAUUAUUGAUUAAUGGAUAUAGAUAGUUUGCUGCUUCUUGAUUGAUUAGUGUCAUUUAGAUAUUUUUUUACAUAUUUUUUUUAUCACUUCCUCCAUCUACCUUCUUUUAUUGUUUAUUUUCAGGCAUGGGAGAAUAAUUAUAAAGAAACCAAAGAUUGUACGUUCUUCUAUUAUUUUGAAUAUAAAAGUCGAAGGCCUAAAAUUAGUAUCUAUUCUCCAAUCUUUUAAAUGGAAGACUUCAUUUUAAUAUUUGAUUACUCAAGUUUGGUAUGAUAUACUUUAUUGAUGAUUACAUGUAGUCAAUAAAUCUAUUUAUCUUGGUAUUAACUUAUUUUUCUUUGUUAUUUCAUUUAGGUCGUACUUUUUAAAUGAAGAAAAUAUCAAAAUAAUCGAAAUGCCGGACAAUUGAGGAAGUUUCAAGUUUGAAUAAUAAGAGAUCCUUGUUCUUUUCUUUGUUGGAAUUAAGAUUUAGAUAAUCUUAUAUUGUUAGAUGUUAGGAUGAAUAAUAUCUUUCAUUGUUAAAUAUUAUAGAUGAACAAUAUGUAAUCUUUUAUUUUUUUAUUUUAUUUUUAAUAUUAUGUAACUGACUUAUGAACCAAUGCUUGGAUCAUUUUAAAUGAAUGAAAGUAGUUAUGCUUUA